CCGGACCCCACUGCUAUCGAGGUGGGACUAAGCCAUGCUAGUCGAACGAACAGAACUAUGUCUGUUAGUGGCAUACUGCUCAGUAACACGUAGCUAACCUACCCUUAGGACGUCGAUAACCCCGAGAAAUUGGGGCUAAUAAGCGAUAGAUGUGAUGUCCUGGAAUGGUAUCACGUCCAAAAGUGUCCCAUACAUGUUUGGUACACGCCUAAGGAUGGGGCUGCGGCCGAUCAGGCUGUUGGUGAGGUAAUGGCUCACCAAACCAUUGACCGGUACGGGCCAUGAGAGUGGUAGCCCGGAGAUGGACACUGAGACAAGGGUCCAGGCCCUACGGGGCGCAGCAGGCGCGAAACCUCCUCAAUGCACUAACGUGCGAAGGGGCUACCUCGAGUGCCAUCUGAUGAAGGUGGCUUUUCCUUGGUCUAAAAAGCCUUGGGAAUAAGAGGGGGGCAAGACUGGUGUCAGCCGCCGCGGUAACACCAGCCCCUCGAGUGGUGGGGAUGAUUAUUUGGCCUAAAGCGUCCGUAGCCGGCCGGAUAAGUUUCCCGUUAAAUCUAGCGUCUCAAGCGUUAGCCUGCGGGAAAUACUGUCUGGCUAGAGAGUGGGAAAGGUCUGCGGUAUUCUGGGGGUAGGGGCGAAAUCCUUUGAUCCCCGGAGGACCACCAGUGGCGAAAGCUGUAGACUAGAACACGUCUGACGGUCAGGGACGAAAGCUGGGGUAGCGAACCGGAUUAGAUACCCGGGUAGUCCCAGCCGUAAACGAUGCAUGCUAGUGUUGGGUUGGCCACGAGCCACCCCAGUGCCGCAGGAAAGCCGUUAAGCAUGCCGCCUGGGAAGUACGAUCGCAAGGUUGAAACUUAAAGGAAUUGGCGGGGGAGCAC
rnacentral:rRNA from 1 species